rnacentral:lncRNA from 1 species
AGGGAAAUGCAGCCUCCCUAGCACUGCAUUGGGUGAAUUUAAGACCAAUCCCAUAUAAGGUAGUAGAGGGUGUGGUCCCUCUCCUCACAGGAUUGGUCCAUUUAAGACCCCUCCCAUACCAGGAAGGAGGGGGGAGGGACCCCUGGGGCAUACUGGGGAACGCAGUUCCCUUGGCCACAAUAUUUUAAAACCCACACUUGAUCUAGCUUGAUCUCUUUAGGGAGUUCUUUGUAGGAACUGGGAGAGAGGGCUACAGCUGGCAGUGUGCACUGAUACUCUUAUUCAAAGUUCACAUCACUUGGACUUUGAGUGUUUUGGGUCAGUGUGGGGAUCUCCUCCAUCUUUUCUAGUGGAAGGAACGUUUCCAGGGAGAGGGUGCUGGGGUUUCUGAUCCAUCAUGAUCUAAGGAGGUCCAGUCAAGCAAUAAUGUUUGUUUCCUUUCUUGGGAAAUAGGACUACCAGGUAGAAGCUCAGUAGGAGAGACUGUGGGAGAUUGCCUUGGAAUGUCUUUUCUGCUUGAUUCACUGGGGAUAGUCACUAUGAAGGAGACCAUAAGGACCCAGCAGAGAAGGUGACAAUGGGAAACGCGAAUUACAGAGCUCUCUGGGCAGUGGGGUCUGUCUACCUCAGGCUUUGUCCAUUGUUGCCUGCCCUACUUCAUAGCUUCUUUUUCCUGGCAGGGCUCCCAUUCUUCCGGUUCUUGAAUAACAACACCUGCAGCUCGUGUAGACAUGGGACUUCAAGCUGUGCACAUUGUCCAAUAAGUUUGUGGAUGGAAAGAGGGAAACAAGGAAGGAAAGAAGGAAACAAGCAUAUAUUAGUACCUACUACGUGGUCAGUCCUCAGCAAGCACUUUAUAAUGUUAUUUCAGUUGAUCCUUACAACAGCUCUGGUAAGUUAAUGCUAUUAUUUUCCCCAUUUUAGAGGUAAGGAAAAUGAGAAAAGUAGAAAUUAAU